CUUCUCCUAUUCAGCCACCACUCCCUAAUUCCCAUCGUCGCUGCCCCAUCCUUUUCUCCAGCUUCCUGCCGCCGCCGUUGAUCCCGCUUCCUGCUGCCGCUGUUGAAGCUUGCGUCGUGUGGCUGCCUACUGCUGCCGCCUGGUCCAUCUCUUUGAGGCUGCUGCUUUCCUACAUCUGGGAGGGACCAAACUAGCGUGGGGAGGGGGGAAUCAGGCAAGAGAAAGGUGCAGAUGCAGGGGAUAGAGAAGGGAGGAAAAGUAUUAUUCCUCCAUCGAUUCUUGAUUCUUGUUGCUAAGGUUUGGAGAGUUCUGGAGCUGAGCGAGAGGCGUCGGUUCCCGUCUAAGUUUUUAGGUACCAAAUGACCGCGAGCAUCCGUGGGAAGUGGGAGUAGCAUUCAUCCAGAGCACACACGUUUAAUUAUACUUAUUUUUAGUUAAAUCCAUUCAUUCAGUAGAACUGUAAUUAGUUAAGUUGGUUCCUUUAUCGUUGGUUGAUGGUGGAACGUCUUGGGGUUGAUCCUAGGGAAGGGCUGAUGCUUACUUAUUGCUUAUAUGUUAUUCAUAUGGUUUACUUGUGGUUGACAAGUUCGGAUGCCCAA